GGGGCUGAUCGGUUUCGACUUGGGACGUCAGUUCCAGGAGAAGCGGGUCGAGGAGCCAGCGACAUCUCGUAAACGACCGCUGGAAACCACAACUGCCAACGCUAAGCGCAGUUCCUUCGCUCUCGCCGCCUGAGCGGUGAUCGAAGCGUCAGACCGGGUGCCUGUCUCCGACCCGGACCCUGGCGUCAUCUAGGAGACUUGCUGCCCGUCCCGGGUCACAGGGGGACGAGCGGGACUCUUCUGUGACUGGGCCUGUCGGCGACGUGUCAGUGCGAGCGCCGGGGCCGAGCAGAACGCCACCGCUGACUGCACCCGGAGAAGACCUGGUUCGACGCCGAAGGACGCGGGUUCGAUUCCCGCCAGCUCCACCA
rnacentral:tmRNA from 1 species